GAAGCCCCUCAACUGUGUAAAAAUCUGAAUAUCAGCUGCUAUUUCUAAAGAAAUUACAAAGAAGCAAUCACAACAUGUCAAACUUCAAAAGAAGUCACACUCCAUAAAGAGCUGUCCAUAGAAGAAUCUAUGCCUUCAACUGGACCGUGCAAUCUGCUUUGAAAUGUCACCUAAACAUACAGAAGCUGCCUUAACAAAUACAAGAUGUCCUCAUUUCGAGGUUCUGAAUUACCUUUUGCAUAAGAUUUAUCACCAGUAAGACAUAUGGCAAACUUGA